rnacentral:rRNA from 1 species
UACGGGGGGGGGCAAGCGUUGUUCGGAAUUACUGGGCGUAAAGGGCUCGUAGGCGGCCAACUAAGUCGGAUGUGAAAUCCCCAGGCUUAACCUGGGAGCUGCAUCCGAUACUGGAUGGCUUGAAUCCGGGAGAGGGAUGCAGAAUUCCAGGUGUAGCGGUGAAAUGCGUAGAUAUCUGGAGGAAUACCGGUGGCGAAGGCGGCAUCCUGGACCGGCAUUGACGCUGAUGAGCGAAAGCGUGGGGAGCAAACAGG